CUCUGGGUUCAGCCCCUUGCAGCAGUCCGGCCGGACGCCGUCUCCUGCCCGCCCGCGUGCGAGACAACGCGGAACGGAACCUCGCCCGCAGCCCCUUCUGCUAGGCCAGGCCAGAGCCCAGUUCGGGCCUGGGUCUCUGCUGGGUGGGGGAAGACGAGGCUGCCUCCUAAGCAGAGUGGGAAACGGAAACCCGGAGGACACUUUGCCUGCCCCUGGGGCUGAGUGUUCCAAGAACUGACAGCGAGAUUCUCGGUAAGAGAAUUCUGGGACAAAGCUUAAUCAAGAAUUCAUCCAAGUUAAAAGCCCAUCCUUUUUAAUUAGCUGCCCACUGCCCAUCUCUGAGUAAAAACAGGCCAUGAGCUACCUGAAAGUAUCCGAAAUACCAGUUGUUUUUAACGUCUACAGGGACUGUCUGCACUCUGACCCUUGAUAGACGUUAGGCACGGGAAAGUGGAACCUGGAGGAUCCCGCGUCCCAAGGCGGUGUAACUCAAGGUGCCCUGGAGGGUACAGGACGAAGUCUGUACGAGGUUUCCCAAGCACUCGUGUAGGAAGGCUUUUGUAGAAAAAAGAGGAAUAAUUAGGGACCACGUGACUUCCCCCCCACACACCUUUCCGCGCCACAAGAAGACAGCAAUGUCAACGUGCAGGUAGAGAGCAGGUUAGUGUGAAAACCACAGCCUUUGACUACCAAAGGAAACUGCGUCUUUUAAAAUAUAGAUGUUUCUCAGAACAGGCCUGAUUUCUCUUUGUGAUAAAGCGUUUUUGCCCCCUCCCCCCCCAUCUUAAGUCUGUCUGGAUGAUACAGAAAAUGAAAGGAACGUUUUCAUGGGAAGAUUCUUACCUGGAAAAUUCUUCCCUUCCUGUCUUCUUAAUUUACUCGUCCCUUCUCCCCAUUUCCCCCUAUGGAAAGACAAAUCCUUGCUCCUUUCAACUGUUUAUCCUCGGGGAUCUUCCCACUUGCAUACUUGCGUGUUUACCUGACCCUUCCUGGUUUGGGGGGGGCUCUCCCCAGGCAUUGUCUCCUCCAGCCCCCACCCCCUACUCUGCCAGGGCCUGCCAGCAGUGCCCGCUGGGCCUCCGAGUUGGUCCGGGCUCUGCCGCAGGUUCUGUCGUGUGCGCUGGAAUAUUGAUUUUUUUUUUCAGUGUGUGUGCACCACUCUGUAAAAAAAUCAAUAUUUCAGUAGCUCCAGCACAGCGCAGGGCAGUGUAAUGGAGCCAGCCUGCCGAUGUAACGUGCGGGGUCCACCCUCGGCUAUUGAGGUCAGUCAGAGAACGGCAGUGCGUUUUUCCUAUUUCAUUGUUUGCUCCGAGGGCAGGGAGGGGGUUGGCCAAUGUUUGUGUACAUCAGAUGCCAAGCUCCUAUGUGGCACGGGAACCAAGUUAGGAAAAAAAAAAAAAGGCUAAAGGUGAUAACUGCAAACGUCCUGUCACCCGUUUAUGUGAGAACUCUUACAUGAAAGAGUAGGUGAUGUGGCGUUACUCUCAGUUAUCAGUUUACCAAAUGUCACAAUGAACAAAAGAAAAUAGGGUUUGCUCCAGGACAAGCCUCGGGUUUACCGUUUAGUACUGGCUGUACGGCAGCUUCUUAUCCUUCUGUCCCAUAAUGUGCCUCUGUUUAAAAAGCAAGAGAUUUCUCCUAUUUUCCUAAUUUCAAAGGGGGAAACAGAUCAAUAAGUGUUGCUGGGGGUGGGGGGACCACCUUCACGACCUCGGCAGCUGAUGAGCCUGCUGAACCUGAGUGAGACAUGGCGGUCCUCUAGGCCUUCCCACUAGGAGAGAAUGAGCCCUCAUGGAUGAGCCCAGGUAAAUCUGUUCGCCUUCACCAGCAUCCCCAUUGUUACCUGUAAGUGGAAGGGUUAAUUCAGUGGCUUCUGAAUGCCCUCUCUAGCAACUACGAUUCUGCAGAAGAAAGGAUGAUAUAGCUAAAGACAGAAGCAUAAUUAUGUUGAGUGUGGAUCUUAGACAUGAAAAUGUAUUAAUACCGAGAACGUUGUAAAAGUGGAAGGUGGAUCUUUCCAGUGCUGGUUGUCUUUGUUUUAAAUUAUGUUUUGUUGCAAUCUUUUUGGAGGGUAAUUUGGCCAUUUUCUAAAAUACACUUUUUUUUUCUUGAUGCAGCUUUUCUUAUUCUAGGAGUUUUCCCUAAAGAAAUCCUGUUACUUAAAAAGAAGUUUAUCACUUGCAAUUUUGCACCGUUGAAACACUGGAAAUGGCUUAGCAACGUGGCACCCAUUACAUAAAACACAGUAAUGACCUUGCUUUCAGUGGGGUGCAGGCAUUUCACAGAGGUGGACGUGCCCGUGCUACUGGGAUUUCUAUCUGCCCAGGAGUGUGUGUCCUGGUGGCCAGGGAAAUGGGCUCUGCGGUUCUCUGGAUGGGUUGAAAUCCCAUCUCCAUCACUAGCGAGCUCUGCAUUCGCUCUAAACUAAGUGUGUUGGGAAGCAGUACACAAACUUACAGGCUUGAGGUAGCACUAAUCCAUAUCUUGCAAGUGACCAGAGUGGCUUUCACUCGAAAAAAAGGGGGGGCUGGGCCUUGCUCCCUCCGGAAGCACCCAGAACAACUUGUUUCUUUACCUCUCCUGGAGGCCUCUUGGACCCCAUGGCUACAAGGUUGCUCAGUACGGAGCUCCAAACUGUUUUGAUCAUUUCUUCUCCUAUGUCUGACCCUCCUGCCUCCUUGUGUAAGGAGCUCUGUGCUGAGAUCAGAUUGCCUGAUUAAUCGAGAGUCACCUCCCCUAACCAAGAGUCUCUUGGUAUCCCACGUUGGCCAUUAUUGGGGCUUACCCAUUAUUGGGCUGAUGUCUGCAGGGGUAUAUUUCUUCCUGAGAACUCCUGGAGAGAGUCCCUGCCCGUUAGAGGCUGCGCACAUUUCCUUUGACCAGCAAUGGGGUUGAAUCUUCCCCUCGUCUCAGGCCUCUGAUACCAAUUCUUUGGUCUCAGCUCCUCUUCCCUUGUGGUUAUGCUGGGCACAGAUAGGACACUGAGGAUAAUCUCCAUAUUUUGAGAUGCAACCAAAUAUAUCAAAUUCAUUCUGUUUGCAAUCAUAUAUUUUCUAUGUCAAGUAACAAGACACUUGACAUAGUCACAUGUUCCUGGGAUAAGGAGUGAGAAGUGUCUCUGAGUUUGAGGCCAGCCAGGGCUAUAUUCUGGAAUCCUAUCUAAAAAAUAAAGACAUAAGUAAAGGAGGCAGAUAUCUUAGGAUCACCUGCCACAGUCAAGAUUCGAGUGCUAACUCUCGAGUGCUAACUUCAGUGAAGCCAUGAUUAGAGCACAUACCUAUAACCAUCCGAAAGUUGUGAGACCAAGUGAAAUGAAGUAUGUAAGAUGUUUAGCAUCAUGCCUCUGUGUAGUAAGCACUGAACGGUAACUUGGAAGAACAAGUGCUCCGCAGUGACUCUCUGCCUAGCAUUACCUGGAAAGGAAAGUCACACUGUACCAGCUGCAUCUGGUGGAAGGAGCAAUUAAAACUGGUUUAAAGGUUUCUCAUUUUGCAAAUGUUUUUUUUUUCCCUUUUUUCUAUCAGGAACAUGCAUGACUUGAACAUUAAAAAAUUUAAUGAAAUUUAGCCAGGCGGUGGUGGGGCACACCUUUAAUCCCAGCACUCAGGAGGCAAUGGCAGAUGAGUUUGAGUGGAGUCUGGUCUACAGAGCAAGUUCCAGGACAGCCAAGUCUACACAGAGAAACCCUGUCUCGACAAUAAAAAAAAAAAAUUAAUGAGAUGAGACAAAUAAAUAAGAUGGCAUCAUGGUACAAUUGUAAAAUAGUUGAAAUGGGAUCUGAAUGGCCCAGGUGCUAGCCUCAGUACGGCAACAAAUGAUGAACUGUGGCAUCAGGCAAGUUAUUUUAACCUUCCUCCUCUCGUUUUCCUCUUGGGGAAUGUGAGGGGAUGUGAAGGAAAGGCACAUUGUAUUUCAAAAAGAUCUUUCUAGUUCUAAAUGCAAUAGUUCUAAAAAGUUUGAAGGUCAGUAAACAGACAACAAAAAACAAAGCAAUGCUAUAAAAAGAAAUCCUAUAGUAUGUUAAAAAACAAAACAAAACAAAACACCAGAGCGCUAUAGAGACAAAACAUGACAAAAGUAUAAAUAAACCCUGCAAAGAACACCACCAUGACAAACAAAAUAAAUGGCAAACAAGCAUAAAGACAUUAAUCCUUUUUAGUGACAGGAAAUGCAAGUUAAAACUUCAGUGAAGCCAUGAUUAGAGCACAUACCUAUAAUCACAGGACUCGGGAGGCUAAGACCAGAGAAACACAAGUUCCAGUCCAGCUUAGGUGACAUGGUGAAAAACCGUCUUAAAAAAAGAAAAAAAUACAUAAAUAUUUUAUUCUCACCAGGUUGGCCAAAAUGCACAGAUCUGGCAACCAAGCCAGACCUGGUUGAUGCGUGACAAUGGCAGCUGACAUCUCUUCACAUAGCAGGCCAUUAAGUAACAGCACACGUGAAUGACAGCUCCUCACACUGUCAUGACUGGAGCCUCAAAACAUGAUGUGGGAGAGCGGGAGGCAGGUCCCCAGAGACCACAGAUACUUGGCCAUCUGUAUAAAGGUCAACCGUGAGCAAACCUGAAUAUGUGUUGGAGGCAUUCGUGAAGAGAGCAAAGCGGGAAAACGGUCAUGAUAGCAUCUAGGAAAGUGGUUAGUGGUAGGGUGUGGAGAGAGGAGGAGGCGCAGCACUAAGGCAGAUGCAGCCGCUUAGACUCUAAAUCUCAAGCUGGAUGGAACACUCAGGCGCCCAAUUGCCCGCUGCAUUAUGCUUCACGAGUGCAUUUGUGGGAGGAGGCGGGAGGCGGGAGGCGGGAGGAAGGCGGUCUUAGCAGUGUCAGCGGUACCCAGCGUCCAGCUAUUAACAUUUAUCUCUGGGGACCGAAUGCGACAGGUGCUCCCACGGACUGGGUGACGUGCUAGCCUUUGAACACUCACUAGUAAAGGUGGAAUGGCCCCUAAUCUUUAACGAGCCACUUUGCAAGAGAUCUUCAGUUUUAAAGACAAAGCUGUUGUUUUUUAAAACUUUUUGAUGAAGCUGGAGAAAUGGUUCAGCAGUUAGAUGUAUAUACAGCUUCUGCAGAAGACUGGAAUGACAUUCAGGGGUUCACAACCACCCCUAACUCUAGCUUGGGGUUUGUCCUAACCUCUGGGGUCAUUUGUAUUUACAGGUAUAUAUCUACACACAGAUAUGUAAUAAAAAAUAAAUUUGAAAAAAAAAAACUUUUGUAGUGAAAGAUUGCCAAAAUUCAAAAAGAAAAGAAUCCAGUCUCAAUAUAUCCUACAAAAUAUAUAUAAAAUUAUGUAGGGGUUCUCUUUGGAUUUUACUGCUGUGAUAAAGACCAUGGCAGUAGGCAACGUGGGGAGGAGAGGGGUUGCUUCUGUGUGUUGCCUUGGUCAUAGUGACACAUUGCAGCAAUAGGAAAGCAACUAAAACACCAGAGGAAGGAAGGAGGACUUGCCCCAUGGCACUCUGGAGGAAGCACAGGGACUCUGCGUGGAGCCUUUGAAGAUGGAUGAGACUGACCACGCGAAAGCUGUAGUGAAAUAUGACAUCUGGCUCCACCUCCUAAAGAUCCCACCACCUCACAGAAUUACCACUCUGGAAUACACAGGGACGUUCAAGGAUCACUCAACAUCCAAACUGUAGCAACAGUUCUGUGAUCGUGCACACACAUCGUUUCUCUUUUAUUAACAGGGAAAUGCUUUCACAGUGUCAGGCUAUUUCGCUUUGGCCGCACAGCUUCAUGUCCAUCGCUGGUGUGACUCCUUUCAGCACUAACCACGUAAGCAAACUGCAGUGUCACCUACUGUCACUCUGCUGGACGUGCACAGGCCCUCCUCGCAGAAGUUUUGGGAGCUGCCACCUACCUUCAGGGGACCACAAGUACAUCUUCACCGUCUUUGAUAUCCUUCCAUCCAUCCAGGACAUCUCUGCUAGAAUCACACUCUUUCAUUCCAGGUUUUGUUCUGACCCUGGAAGUCUGCGUGACAAGGGAAGAGAGAGUGUACUCUUGACUCCAGGACGUCAGCUCCUGGGUCUUCAUAGUCACUGUGGACAAUUAUACAGAGGGGUGACCUGUCUGUCACUGCAGUCUGUGACUUGAAUCUACUCUGUGCUUGUUCUCCCCUUACUGGAAGGGGGACCUGUUUCUCUUGCUGCUUUCUCUUCCAGAAGGCACCAGAAACUGUCAUGGACUCUUAAGAAAUCACAGGACUUCAUAAGGAAGGGUCUUGGAACUGUCAUCCCUGUUUUUCAGUCUGCCUGCUGUCUGGGUUCCUUUUCCAGCCUCCUCUGGUGCCCCAGCUCUGCAUGGGGCUCAUUUCCUGGAUCCCCAUCACUCCCCAAACAUACGCUUAUUGUCCUUCUUUAAUUAAAAAAAAAAUAUUUCCAUUUUUAA